CAUAAAUUUAGCAUACCACUGAUUGAAGGUGAGCAAUUACGGAGCUCGCCUGGGUCCAGUGCAUAUCCACAACCAUGGAGAAAAAGUGGGAGGAGAUUUUCGAUUACCUUUCUAAGGCGUCAUACCCACCAGCACUGAAUAAAGGACAAAGGCAAAGCCUUAGAAAAUACUCUUCUAAAUUCAGUAUUCAUGAUGGGAAACUAUUCUUCGAUGCAAGUUGCAAGGGUGCAAGUCGACGAAGAGUAAUCAAGACAAAGGAGGAGGCCAUGCAUCUUUUUAAGGAAUUUCAUGCCUCACCAAUUGGAGGACACACUGGUAUUAUGAAAACUCGAACUGCCAUGUGUUCAAUGUUCUAUUGGUAUGGCAUGACAACAG